UAUGCCUCUUGAGAGCUAUGGUUUCAGGUGUCCAUGAACUCAGGCAUCGUGAAUGAUCUUGCUUAGGGCUCUUCAUAUUUGCAUGGCUACAUGCUGGAGAACUUGGCAUGAAGUAGGAUGAUCACAGCCCUGAGACCUUGGCCCUAAGUGGAGGUCUCCUAACAAGACGCACUAGGGCCCAACGAGCAGCAGCCUUGAGGCAGUCCCCUGCGACCUGGGAGAGCGGGAAGGGAAAGCGCAGGAAUGAAGUCCCAGAGACUGUCCUCAGUCUCUUAACAUCUGCAUGGCCACAAAGAAGGCCCCACCCUGAAGGGAGCAUGGUGCCAGGCAGGAGCCUGGGGCAGAGCAGCACUGCACAGGAAUGAGCAGACAGCCUCAGGAAGAGAGAAGUGGGUCAGCCUGGGGUGAGCAAGAAAACCUUUUCCAAGCAGGGCACCAGCUCCUGCUCUGCUGGUCAUGGUGGGAGAGAGACACAUAGCAGAAGUAGGAUUCACCCUGCCCUUCUCGGCUUUUUAGAGAGGUGCAGCCUCCAACCCUCGAGGGUUCGCAGCCUUGGACAAAGUGUGGCAAUGAGCUUGCAUUAUCCCAUGUGUCCUGCUCCCUCCUCACUUUUUCUUGACCUCUUUCUAGCCCUCCUGCCUGAACCAUGUCACUGUUUCUGUUUGGUGCCCCUUUCUCACUGUACACCAUUCUCCUCUGCUUCCCCACACUGCUCUCCUCUGCCCUGCACUGAGCUUCCUCACUCUCUUCUCCUGAUCUUUCCCUGCUUUCCUCCAUUCUCCACUCCUUUCUAUCUCUCCUAUCUGCCCCUGCUCUGUCACCAGUGGAUUUUCCUCUCAUUGCAGUGAGAGGUGCCACAGCCUGAGGUGUGUAUGCACUUAACAGUUAAAGCUCAGUCUAUAGUGAAUAAAGGGAAUUUGGCUUUCUCCCCAGGUUGAAUCUAACAUCUCUGACCAAGCUCUUCCAUCAGCAGCUGUUUUUCAUGGGCCAUGCAGUCAUACACUGGACUUUCUUGUCUUUUUCUUUCUGCUUCUCAUUUUCCACCAAGAGAGGGCAACUCAUGCCUGGGCUUUUGGCACUACUCCCAGUGCAACACAUGCAUCAGUGAGAUAAGGCAGACUGAGCCAGGGCAUAUGGAGCCGACGUCUAUCCCAGCAGGUCCCCAUUUGCAUGUGGGGAGCUCAGUCCUGUCUUGCUCCUGGAGAGAGAUGCCAGGAGAGACAACCGGGAGGGAGACACUCAAAGCAAAUAUGUGGUCCAGGCUCCAAGUCACAGAGACUAGCUCUCCCUUGGGGAACAAAAUAAGGCCAGGGCAGGGGCUCAAGUACUGUCCUGGGACCCUCUACACAUUUCUCAGCAUGUUCCUUGGUGAAGUUUUGGCCCAGGCCAACUUUCCCAGACACUGCUCAGUCCUAUUUCAACUCAUAGCUUGUGCUAGGGGCUGUUCCCAGCCAGAAGUUUGGAUAUGACUGUGUGGAUGUGAGACACAUCAUGUCACUUGGCCUAGAGAACAGGACCAGCCAUUGGCUCGGCUGUUUUUCAGUAGACUAGAUGUAGAGAGAGGUGCUGGUGGGUGAAUUAGGAAGAAAGAGGGCUACAAAAGCAUAUCACUGACAGUGCAGGAAUGAAGCAAGCGUUCUGCAAAAUCAGUUCCAAUGCUACCCUGUCCUGUCUCCCCCGCCCUUUUAUUUAUUACACUUUCACCCCUCAUGCCUAUCCCCUGGCUCCAUGUCCUCCCUCUUGACCAUUCCCCUUCUUAUCAGGUUCUUUCUGCUGUGGGACCUUCACCCCUCCUCCUUUCCCUUCAGCCUCAUUUUUCUGGUCCCUCAUUUUUGUUACUUCUCCUCCCCUUUGCUGUUCCCAUCCUUUCUGUGCUGUACUUAGCAUUGUGGCUAUUUUUUCUUGCCAUGACCCAGUUCCUUCUGGAGCCUUAUCAUUACUUUUUUUGUUUCCUUCUGCCCCUUCUGUGCCCUCUUCACUCUUUCCACGCUCCUGUCUGCUAUCUCCAAUCAGCUGUCCAGCUCCAGUUUCUUCUCUGCCAAGUUCUGCCCAACCCUAGUUCCCCAGGCUCUUUCUUUUCUAUCGUGCUGCAUUUCAUUGUCCUAUUUUCCUUCUCUGAUAUUGUUCCACUUUCCACAUCCCCUCCUUGUGGUCCCCAGUGCUGCUGCUGCAUCGCUGCCCUUCCCCACUCCCGCCCCGCUGCUCCCCUCGCUGUUCCUCGCUGUUUGAUCUCUCCUCCCUUUGUCUCCCAGUCUCUCUCUCCACUCCUCUCUUUGUUCUCAGCUUUUUCCUCCACUGGCCUCCUCUUCUCCCAAGGGAAGGUGGUUUCAUACUAAAGCAGAGCUGCAAGGGUCGAGUGGUCUCAAGAGCAAACUCCAUCACUGUGAUUUCAUUUCUACCUGCUGCUUUUGCACUUUUUACACGUUCUCUAAAAUUGAUUUGGGCGGCUGCUUUCUGCCUUCAUUUAUGCAUUGUGGGCCUGAUUCGAAGCCCUCUGCAGUCAAUAGGAGUCUUUCCAUUGACUCCCGUGACCUUUCAGACAGUGCUUAAGCUGCCUGAUGCGCACACCCAAAUGUUAUUACCCACUGUUUUAUCCCAGGAUAGAAAUGCACAUCAGCAUACACUGGUAGUAGUAGUAAUAAAGUAGCCAGUGCUGCUAUUUUAUCUAUUUAUCCUGGCAUUAGGGUCCAUUGCUCAGGGUGCUCUAUUGACAUUUGGGAGGACAAAGCCAUUGUCCAGGAGCAUGCAGUUAAUUGUCAUGCCGGUGAGAUAAGCGGAUGACAGCACACAAGGAACUGAGGAGAUGCAGCAGGCAUAGAGUGUCAUGCAGCUAUGCAGUCAGAUUAGCGUGUGUGACCUGAAAAUAUCAAACCAUCUUCAGAAGUUUUGGGUUGGAUUGGGAUCGAGAAAACUGUGUGGAACUGGACCCGUGAAGUGCAGGCAGAAGUAGUCACCUCGCAGGCGAAUGUGAGAAGUAAUCAAGACAUGUGAAACACUUGGGAACUGGGGGGCAGAACUCUGCAAAAGGCAAAAGAGUGGCAGCAGCAGCAAUAGGAACAGUAAAAUAAUAGCAGCAACCAGAAAAAAAUAAUAUCAGGGUUUUUAAAAUGAUUUUCUUACUGUUUUCUCACCAAUAAAAUUGGUCAGGUUUCACUUUAUAAUUGCAUUAUAAAUAUUUUGGAAUAAUUUUUUAUUUCCUAUACAUUUCUCCAAACUAAUGCGAUUUGGAGAAGCUUUCUAAACUGCAGUUUAAAGAGUUUCAUGAAUUUCCCUAUGUUAGAACACACAGUUUUCACGUUUUAAAAUUUCUUUCUUCAUGUGUAUUUGCUAUUUUAGAAAAAAAAAAAUCACCAAAAGCAAAAUUUGAAACCCAGGAGAUGGCUAAAAGCAAAUGCCUUUUUUUCCCCGAAGUCUAAUGGAAGUUUCUCUUGUCAUAAGCCUGCAGUGAGCAGUAUUAUUGAGGGCUAGUGUUAAAAUUCAUCCCUAUGCAAGUGGCCGGGCCACGGCCCAAGCAGCACUCGUUUUAGCUCUAUUUUGUGGGUUUGUAUAGGAUUUCUUGUGGUAUGUAAGUGGCCUUUAUAUAGAGUAACAGUUUGUAGACAGUUCCUCUUACUCUCUUUUCCUUACAGCUAGGCUGUGGUUUAUUUUAACAUGCAUGAUCCAUUGUAUGUUUUUAUUUCCGCGAACCAAAAUCAUUCUCUAUUAGGAAGACUGGAAAACAUAUGCAGUCGAAAUACGGGCUUCUUCCCUCUUUACCACAAAAAGCUCCUAAAACACUGUGUUUGGAUCGCAUAGUCGGGGGUAGGGAGUCCUACUGGCAGAGCAGUUAGCAUAGUGUUUUCUGAAAUGUCUGCUGAGUCUGUAUGUGCCGAUUUUCAGUAAACCACCAGCCCCUACAAGCCUCGGUUUUGAAAAUGGGACUUGACUUGUCUUUCAGAGCUCCACAUCUGAGGCAGUAAACUCUCAUUGCUUUCGAUGUAAAUGUUUUUAGCAUCUCUGCUUCCCUACCGCAGUGCUCCCGCAAAUGUUGUUUCUCAGUGCUCCGUUCUAGAAAGAAUUUUCAUUUUCAGAAGGUUGAUUUUGAUUGCAAGCUGCUUCCCUUUCGUGGAUGCGCUUUCCUUGGUCUUCUCCCUGCCCGGCUGCCCCUGCCCCCGGCCAUGGCACGGGCACCCUUGGAGGAGCAGUCGGCACACCGGCACCCUUCUCUGCCAUCUGCCUCUGGACCACCACAUUAGUUGAAUAUGAUUUUUUGCCUAAUACAGGAAAUCAUCAGUUUCUUCUCAGUGUAUUCAUUUCAGCCUGUCUAGUCUCAGGACUAGGAUGCAGACCUCAAAAGUUAACCUAAGCAAGCAUUUUAACUGUGAAUCCUGUGCUGUAGCAGGAGGCUGAAGUACUCAGAGUGCCCACAUAAAUAGGGUUGCUCUGGGAAGAUCUGAAUCAGCUCUCCUACUGCGGCCCUCCAGGAAAAGCCUGGUUUCACUUUCUGCCUGUGCCGCAACCAGCGUGCGUGUCUCCCAGCGCGGCAUGGCUGGAGGGCUGCGCCGGCAAGUCCCAAGCGCUUUGUCCCUGUGGACAUUUCUGCAGCUCCGCACUACAGUGAAGGACUUUCACGUGUCUGUUCAUUUUGCUUCCGUCUUUGUUUCCUAGUCUUUUCACAAGAAAAGUUGGGAAAAGUAACAGGGCUAACCCGAUGCGACACUGUUGUUCUUCACAGUGUUUUAUUUUGCCAUGAAUCAGUGGUAACGCUGCUUCUCUGCAAGCAAGUUGCAUUUUUGUCACUGUCUCAGAUUGGAACCAUAUUGUCUCUCGCUCACAGUUAUAGACUCAGUAUAUGGGCGCAAAGCGUGGUGCCAUUCGUGCAUUCGCUGAGCCUCAAAACGCGCCCGAUCGUCGGGGAAACAAACUGUGGCAUAUAAAGCACGAGAAAGUGAGGAUGUUUAUAAUAUGAGAAUGGUUCUUAUUUUGUUCAUUCUGGCAUAGAAAAUUAAAAUUAUAUAGGAAAUUGUCUUUCCUGUUUAGGAUCAGAAUUGCUUUUGAAAAAUUACUGCUAACUUUGUAAACAUUAACAUAGAAGCAAUAAAGAUGUGAAAUUUCACACAGGGGAUCUACAAUGUUUGUGUAAUUAUAAGCAUAUGGUUACUUUACAUGAGGUCUCUGUUCUACUUUUAUUUACUGGUGCUUUGGGAAAAUAGAGGUUCUCAAAUUCAGUGUUUAUUUACAUGUAUAGGGAAUGUCACAGUCCCCAUUAACCUGUCAUAAUCUGUAUUUCUGUUUCAGAGCACCAGCUAUAUAAACUGAACCACCAGUUUUACUAUCAUUUAUAAUUUGCUCAGCUAUGCUGCUAACUCAGACAAUUCCUGUUGUUUCUGAAUAACGCAUACCCUGCUGCCAGUUGCAGAACGGCACCGAUUUAUCUCCUCAGCGCUUGAAGAGCUCUGCAGAACUAAUUUCAGCUGUUGGGGGGCUAAAAGCAAAAGGCUAUUGCUUUGAUUCAUCUUUCUCCAUUCUGAAGAGUUUGGUGGCACUUUAAUUUAUUGUCUUCUUUUUAAUACGCCUUGCUAUAAGCAGUGAAUCCAGCCCCAGAGGGUACUUGGCAUUUUUUUCUUCAGUGGUGAGUAUCCACAAUUCCUGUUUUUUGGACACAAAAGGACCUCAGCCUCGGUGGGAUCCAGCCCUCCAUUCAUGGACUGAAUUAUGCUGGUUUUUGUCUUUAAUACUUAGUGACCAGACGUCUGGGACAGUUCCUUGUUUCAGUGCAAUGAGUGCAGGAACCAAUAUAUGAGUAGUAACUUCUCAUUUUAGAAAAAAUGUGAAAUAAUUUCCAGACAUUUCUUGCAUUUUUCCAUUUUACAUAGGGCUACUUACACUUCUGAUAAGUUAUGUUUAACUGUGGAGCUUUUUGUUUUGCUUUGUGAAGAUCUCAGGCAAGGCUUCCAGCUUUGGCUUUGCUCAGGCGAGAGCGAUGGAAUGAUGUUCGCUGUCACGCAUGAUCCCAACCACACAUUGUGCCUACAGAGUAACAGGGACAUACAACACAUUCCUUUUUAAAAAAGAUGAGAGAGUCCUUCCAAAGAACUGCAUCAUCACAGUGUGGUCUAGCAGCACAGAGGAAUUUAUCUGCAUUCUUUGAUUUUUUUUACUAUUCUUUUCUUGCUCCACCAAUCUGCGCUGCUUCUCUCUCAUCUCUUCAGCACUGCAGAGGCAUUUUGAACCCGGCAGCUGAGUUUUCUCGCAGGCCCUGCCUAUGCUGAGACUUCAAGGCAUCUCACUAUUGCCCUGGGACCAGAGAGCAGCAGUCGGCAUGCAGGAGAAGAGCUUGCCUGGGAGCCGAAGAUGUGGGUACCAAUCUCAUUGCUGGAAGCAGUCCACCAGCACCUGCUCUGCUGCUGUUCCUGGGCAGGAACCUCAGCGGUGGUCGGCAGCAGUUUCCCCGAGGACCAGAAGCGUGGUGAGAAGUACCGUUUGCAGCCAUGCAGGGGACAGCACAAGUCUGGCGGAGCACUGGGAGCAAGCCAGAAAAGCGCCAGCGUGCCGUAGCACAGUUUGGAGCCAGCGCAAGAACAAAGAGCUGGAAACCAGGACUGCGUGGUGGGGCCGCCGCUCCUCCUCGCCACGCCAGCGCCGCGCGGGUACCGGCCCUCGCGCUCCUGCUCCUCCUUCCACCGCACGUGCGGCUGCUGCCGUGGCCAAACGCCAGCACGGGAGGAGGGGAAGGUGAAUGGCAGUGAAGUGAAAAUAUUAGUCUCUUCGAAAACAGAAAAUGAGGGCACUGCUUUUGCCCUGGGCAUUUUAUCAGUGCCAGUCAAACAGCGUGAGUCCUCUAGAAAAGCCAGAUUGAAACCGGACAGUGCAGAUAACAGCGCAUGUACUCACAGCAGAGGAAGUAAAGAACAUAUGUGCUAUACUUCAGGAGGUGCCGGUUUGCUUCUGAACUUCCAAAGUCCAGCAAGAUUUAUUCAUUUUGGGCCUGAGCCCAAAGCCAUCUGAAGUCAAGGGGAGUCUUCGAUGGGGCUGAGGUUAGACCUUUUUAUGGCAGUGCUGUUCCACAGUUGUUAGAAAAGAGCUGCUUCUGUUCAGCCCACGUCUCCUUCACAUGUGGAAACGCACAAACGUUGCUCUCGCUAACGUUAAUGGGAAUUAUGGUUGCAGUUUAACUUCCUCACAUGCCAAUGUAUCCCACAGGUAAUGGCCCAUGUGUGCGCAUAAGAAUUAGUUCUGAAAGCUGCACACGUUUCUCCUCUUUAUAAAAGAAGACCAGGCACUCCAUAACUACUAAGCACAGGCUGUCUGAAAGGUGUUUUAUUAACUAAAGUUUGGGAAGAAAAUGAAACUGAAAAGAAUACGACUGCAUAUUAAACUACACGAAGUGGUCAUGACAACUGGGGAUCUCUGUAUCAUAAAAUUUUAACAGCUGGAUGCAAUCAAUGGGGAUUUUCUAUUUUUCUUUUUUGUUAAGCUUAAGAAAGAAAGAAGAAAAAAGAAAAGCUUCAUUUUAUUCAAGCAAGCUCUUUAUCCAGCUCAGCUGUCUUUGCUGAGUAUCAGAAGUUGUCUUUACUUCUCCAUAAAUCUAAAUAUUGCCUGUGUUCUUACAGCACAGUCCGGUUUCGGGGACGGGGUUCUACAGCAGUAGGUGUUCAAUAUCCACAGUAGCUGCAUUAGAAGAAAUGGAAACCAGAGAAAUGUGCAUUACAGCGGCACUUUUCCAGCAUGAAUACAAAUUUCAGAUCUUACUGUUUAAUUACUUGACACAGAAUUUUGCUCCAACUUUUUGCAAAGUUUAAUUUGUGCCUGAAAUCCCACAGCAUUUCUGCAGCAAAAGGAUUAGGUUCCAAGGCAGGUCAAUAGAAACACAUUACUGUUUGGCAGAACAGCUUCUAUUUCAUCACAUGUAAUCACAGCCUGGACUUUCCCUUAUUAUAUAUAUUUUGCUCUAGUACUGCUUCCUUUUUGUUGAUGUCAACACUCUCUUUUGAGAUAGUUCAAAAAACCUGAGCAUUAUCAGAGCUACAGAAAAGGAGAGCAUUGGCAAAAAAUGUAAUGGGCCUCUUACCAAAAAAAUAAAUGCAUAUGUUUAGAAAACAAGGCCAGAAUUGUAUAUAACUUACUGGAAUCUUACUCCUUGAUAGCUCUAUGGAGGGAGGACUACUUAUUCAUUCAGGGAGUAACAAAACAUUAUUCAGCAUAGUUAAAUUUGAUGGCUCUCAAUCUGAUUUGUACGGAUUUGCUAAGGCAGCCUUACAAACUGGCAUCUUUCCUCAUUUUGUGGCGAUUCCCAUGUCUCUUAAAAUGUGAACUAACUUGAAAAUUUUAAGUCAAUGUUCCACUGGUUACAUUUUAAUGUUUGUUUAUUAAAAUAAUUUCACUUUUCAUUUACCAAUUCCUCGUGAAUCCUCCAAAAGAAGCAACAUAUCUGAAGAAAAUCAGCUGUUCUUGCUGUGUUUUCAGCCCCUCCAGAACCCACUUGUCUCGGAAGAAGGGAAAGGUUUUCCAGAGAAAAGGCUCAAUUCUGGACAAACUCCUAAGCUCCAGUGUUGAGACCUGUGGGAGCCCCUUCGCCUCGGCCAGAGGACUCAGCGCUGUGUGCUCGCGCCGAGGCUCAGAGUAACGCAGGACGGAGUGCCAAGCGGCUGCUCAGGCACCACUUUAUGGUACCCUGCAAAAAGACCAAAAGUCAGCAUGGCAAGUUUUCACCUUCAAUUUCCUAAUUCCUUUUACAGGCUGCCCUAAAUCUUGUUUUCUCUGUUUCUCCCAUGAAAGUCACUUGGAAGCAGCUGUAGCAGGGUUCAAAGACAAAGGGCCAAAAUAAACAUCAGCAGCUGGUGGCUGGAAAA